UACGGGGGGGGCAAGCGUUGUUCGGAAUUACUGGGCGUAAAGGGCUCGUAGGCGGCUCAGUAAGUCGGGUGUGAAACCUCCAGGCUCAACCUGGAGACGCCACUCGAUACUGCUGUGGCUAGAGUCCGGUAGGGGAGCAUGGAAUUCCUGGUGUAGCGGUGAAAUGCGCAGAUAUCAGGAGGAACACCAGUGGCGAAGGCGGUGCUCUGGGCCGGAACUGACGCUGAUGAGCGAAAGCGUGGGAGCAAACAGG
rnacentral:rRNA from 1 species